UACGUAGGGUCCGAGCGUUGUCCGGAGUUACUGGGCGUAAAGCGCGCGCAGGCGGCGGUGCUGGCCCGGCGUGAAAGCCCCCGGCUCAACCGGGGGAGGGUCGUCGGGGACCGCACCGCUUGAGGGCGGUAGGGGCUGGUGGAAUGCCUGGUGUAGUGGUGAAAUGCGUAGAGAUCAGGCGGAACACCAGUGGCGAAGGCGACACGCUGGGCCGUACCUGACACUGAUGCGCGACAGCAUGGGGAGCAACAGG
rnacentral:rRNA from 1 species